AGCUAGGGCCUCAUUAAGACUAGGUGCUCAUACCAUCACAGGCAGAGAAUUAAUUACUUGUCAAACGACUUUUGUAAUAUAUGCCCUGAUAUGCCCUAGCAUCUUUUUUUUGCAUUGGUAAAACUAAAAGAAAGUUAAAUCAGCGUGUGAAAGAGCACCUCAGAUCUUUAAAAACGAAAGUAGGUGCCUCUCGCUUUAUAAACCAUAUAGAAUCUUGCCACCAUAAUGAUCCCAGAGGUGUAAAGUUUGCAGGCAUAGAACAUGUUAAUUGCCCAAGAAGGGGAGGAGAUCGACACAAGCUGCUGCUCCAUUCAGAAGCUAGAUGGAUCAUGAAACUUGAGGCAUUAGGUCCACUAGGCCUAAAUGAGCUGAAUGAGUUAAAUGUUUUCCUUUGAUUCCCAGUAGGUAAUGUUGUUUUUAACUGUUUGUGGAUUUACGACAUAUUACUAGUGGUUUUACUAUAUGUUUUCUGGUUUCUAUGGUUACACACUAUGUUAAAAGCACGUACCUGUAGGGGGAUGACAUCACCAGGGGCCUGAGGAAGCGUCGACAGGCGUGAAACGACCGCCAUCGUCCAGGUGAGACGUCCCUGCUGUUUGCUGCUCUGCACGUUGCACUUUGGGGAUGCUGCUGUUAUAAUUUGGUCUUCUUAUGUACUAGACACGCUGCUGAAUAAAAGAGCUGCAUGAAGAUCUUCCUCGAGGGAACAGGAAGAUGUGGAGUACAGUGAGGAUGUGGAGCUGUCUGAAAGGCAGUUGUGGGGAAUCAGGCAAGUUAAAUCUAGAGCCCCACAACAUGUAAAGAAGAGACUUGGCAUCAGCUGUCAGCCCCCCUUGGCGUUGCAUUUAUCCUAUAGAGUUUCAAGUUACCUGACAACACAGUGAAGACAGCAGAAAACGCAUUUAACUUCAGACCAUCCACAACGUUAUUUGACUGAAAGAAUUCUAGGCACAUGAGGCUGAAUCCAACGACUAACAGUAAAAUGAACAGCACUUCAGACACCACGGACAGCCAAAGUACACCUGAAACACAGAACAGCAACAAAGAGGUAAUCUGGGUUCAAUGAUGGUUUUCAAGGCCUAAUGGUAAAAAGUAAAUGCUGAACCUACACUAUCUAUCCCAGCCAAACCACCUGUAAUAUAUACGUAUAUGGUUUUUAUCAUCUCAAAUUGGCGUUCUAUUCCAAGACUUUCAUUUUCUGCCUUUUACCAUAUCAAAGAAUCCCCUGAAGAUAGAAUGCUUCCUGUCACAGAAUGCAAUGCUGCUUCUGGAAUUCCAAUGUGGCUGGGUAUAAAAGAGAAGGUUUGAUGCACAGAACCAGAAAGACAGUUUAAUUGCUUGAGAAGAAAUACUGAAAAAGAGAAAUGCACAAGCUAGUGAAGGAUUCCGAGAGCGAGAACACUUCGAUGUCUACAUUUUGCACCUGUUUUUUUUCUUCUUCUUUGGAUUAACCGAAAAGUUAAAAACAUUAAAAUGUAAAACCCUGCGACACAUUAUGGAUAUUGAGACAUUAACAUUUUUUCGGGUAAAUUCUAAAGUCUUCUGUAUAAAUCCACUGUUUUGGUUUGCAAUUUA